rnacentral:rRNA from 1 species
UACGUAGGUGGCAAGCGUUGUCCGGAUUUACUGGGCGUAAAGGGCGCGCAGGCGGCUAUCCAAGUCAGGCGUGAAAUCUCCCGGCUCAACUGGGAGGGUGCGGUGGAGACUGCCGGACUAGAGGCACUCAGAGGCCGGUGGAAUUCCCGGUGUAGUGGUGAAAUGCGUAGAGAUCGGGAGGAACACCAGUGGCGAAGGCGGCCGGCUGGGGGUGACCUGACGCUGAGGCGCGAAAGCGUGGGGAGCAAACAGG